AAUAAAUAAUUAAAUACACACACGCAUACAUACAUAUAUGUAUGAUAUAUAUACACAGCAUUCAAUUCAAAUCUUUCAAACACAAUAUCCCUAUCUCUCUCACACACUGUCGGCAAAGUAGAACGAUAAAGAAAUGGCGAUGGUUAAUUAAUGGAUCGGCACGCGAGAAGGACUCAAAGUAUCUCUCUAUCUCUCUCUCAAUAAAGCGUAACGUGGACUAAAUCUAUCCUUUACUCUCUCUUGACAUUAGCCUUCCAAUCCACCCUCUCUGUCAUUCGUUCUACGAGUUUCUCUCUCUCUCUCUCUCUCCCUCUCUCUCUUCCUCUCUCAUCCCUCCUAUUGUCGAUGGGCCUGAGUUGUUUUGUCCCGUCAGUCCCUGCCGUGCAAUGCGAUAUCUAUGGCUUUCUUUUGGGGGUCCUUGUGCCGAAGCCGCCAUUAUACCCAAAAGUCCACCCCUCUGUUCCCUCCCAUCCCACCCCUUAUACAUACUCUCCUUCUCUCUCUCUCUCUCUCUCUCUCUCUUUCUCUAUCUUUUAUUCUCAACUUAUACACACACUAAUAUAAAGUGCAGUUCACAGGAACGUCACAAGAUUCUUUCUACGUAUAUAUGUGUGAUGGCAGAGAUCGUUUCUCUUCCUCCUCCUUUUUCUCUUCUUCUUCUUCUUCUUCUUCUUCUUCUUCUUCUUCCUCCUCCUUUUCCUUCUCUUCAUCUUUAGAUAUACGUGUCUGUGUGGGUGCGUGCGAAUCUGUGUGGCAAACCGCGAAGGAACCAGCCUUCACUCGGGUAGCUCUAGUUUAGCUAUUCAAGGCGGUGCGUACGUCGAAAAGGGAUAAAAGGGUGUACCAAUGGAGACCAAUACGCGCUCGAGUAUUGGCUGACUCCGGCAUGGUGGUCCAGGUCAACAAAUCAUAAUCGUGCCUACGACCGAGUAACGAGGAAAGCCUGAAGAUGUUUGCUGGACGUUGCUUUGGCGCUCUUUCGAACACGCCAGCAAGUAAGAGAGAAAGAGAGAGAGAGAGAGAGAGAGAGAGAAGAAGAAGUAAAAGGAAGAAAAAGAGAUAGAGAAGUCUUGGUUAAGGUCUAAAGAAAUGGAAGGAGGGGUAGAAGAGAAGAAAGGAAAGAACGAUGCUCAUGAGCGAGAACAAGAGCAAGAACAAGAGAAGCAGUCGUCCUUAUCGUACACGGCAAGUUCAGCAAACAAGAUGAAGAAGAAGGAGAAGGAGAAGAAGAAGAAGGAGAAGAAGAAGAAGAAGAAGAAGAAGAAGAAGAAGAAGAAGAAGGAAAGGAUGCUGAAGAUCCUUUCGUUUGAGCUAUCACCUCGAGAUCGUUCGUGGUAUGCGCUACCUAAAAGCACGUUCUUAAUUCAUGGCGAUCGCUCAACGUUGCAACGCGCCGUCGAAAUAAUAAAUAUUAC